UACGUAGGGGGCAAGCGUUGUCCGGAUUUAUUGGGCGUAAAGAGCGUGUAGGCGGCCAGGUAGGUCGGUUGUGAAAACUGGAGGCUCAACCUCCAGACGUCGACCGAAACCAUCUGGCUAGAGUCCGGAAGAGGAGAGUGGAAUUCCUGGUGUAGCGGUGAAAUGCGCAGAUAUCAGGAAGAACACCCGUGGCGAAAGCGGCUCUCUGGGACGGUACUGACGCUGAGACGCGAAAGCGUGGGGAG
rnacentral:rRNA from 1 species